rnacentral:rRNA from 1 species
UACGGAGGGCGCAAGCGUUGUUCGGAAUUACUGGGCGUAAAGCGCGUGUAGGCGGCCGAGUAAGUCGGAUGUGAAAGCCCGGGGCCCAACCCCGGAACUGCACCCGAUACUGCUCGGCUGGAGUCCCGGAGAGGAUGGCGGAAUUUCCGGUGUAGAGGUGAAAUUCGUAGAUAUCGGAAGGAACACCAGUGGCGAAGGCGGCGAUCUGGGAAGAUACUGACGCUGAGGUGCGAAAGCGUGGGGAGCAAACAGG